rnacentral:ncRNA from 2 species
CUUAAACUCUCGGGGUGCACAGUUGUGCUGAGAUGAUCAAUUUAUUUGAUUGAACCCGCUGAACCUGCUCUGAAUAAUAUCUGCGGAGGGAAGAGAAAUGUUUGACUA